CUUACCUGCUUCACUUCACCCCCGCGCGCUGCACGAAGGGUGAUGAUAGGCUGUCGGUAAAGGAGGAGGCGUAAACCAACGCGUCAUUACAUAACCUGAACCAGGUUUUUGUUGAAGAGGUCAUUUUUGGGUAGGAUAUCUCACCUAGUCAACACGUCGAAAUCAACACAUUUAUCGGGAAGGGAACAACAAGACAGUUAGUGAAAAAGUGAGUAGCCUACUGUAUGAUAUGCUAUUAUAUUUCAUGUUGUCGACUGACGUAUUCACAUGGGAAAUUGGAAGUUGAAGUGGUAAUGGUAGGCUACUGUUAUUAAUGUUCAGGAAGAACUAAGAUCAGCAUUGGGUGAAAUACCACGACCAGAGAGAACUGGGAGGCCAUUUUUGGGGCACCCAAUGCUGUGUUUUAAUCGUUCAGAAAAUGUAAACGAAAACUUUACUUUAGGCUAUAUUACAAGUGAAACCAAAACAACCAGAACAACAUAUCCAAUACAAUUGUGCAAUUGUGACAUAUCAUAAUGUUGAAAGAAAUACAUCUUUACGGUCAUUUAAAAAAUGUAUCUAAUUUUGCAUGAUCUAUUGUAGAUUCCUAUCAUGGAGGUUGCAGAAAAGAAGAUGCCCAAACAGGCCCAGCUGCUCUCUCUUGGCCGCAAGGACACCAGUCACCUCUUGGAAGUGUAUGUGAAGCGCAGCAUCAGUUUAAGUGACGGGACAUGUGAGGACCAGAGGUCACCAACAAAGCCUCGGAAGUGGGUGACACUGUCAGAGAAACGCAGAAGAGUUCACCGGCAUUCUAUUGACUCCUUGGUCACCUUAGGGCCCAGCAAACUUGACGAUGGCGAUGCCACCAGCACACCACCCGACGAGGGCUUUGUUAUACCAAAUGUGGCUCCUGUAGAAAUCCCAGGGCCUGCUGAUAUUCCUGAGAUUGAUGCGUCUACUGAACUGGAGAAUAAGUCUAAAGAGGGAAAGAAGAGGAGCAAAAGGCCCUCUCUCUGGAAAAGUUUUCUGGGUUUCUUCUCGAAGAAGGGGAGUGACCAGAAAGAUGAGCAUGAGUCUGGUACAGAGACUGGUGGACAGUCGCAAGGAAACAAAUCCAUAAAAAAGCAAUGGCGCUCCAUGAGGAGACCUCUGAGAAAAAUAAAGAGUGACAGCUUCAGAGGGUCUGUGAGGAGAUCAUCGGCUCGGAACAGGGCCAACACUACAGAAAUAACUGGAGUUGAAUCGGUUGUGAGUGUGGUGCUUACAGACUCGUACUAUGAGAAAGUGUCAGAAGAGCUGGAGAAGAUUGUGUCUGAGGAGAAAGAGACAGACACAGCUUCUACAGAUGAGGACGUCAUCAAAAGGAUCAUUGUUCUGAUGAAGCAGCAAGGAGACGUCAUUGAUAACAAGGUUUGUGUUCAUAAACUACAAAAAAAAAGAAUGUAUGUGAGAAACUUAAUACAAAGUCUAUAUUUGACACUCAAUGCUUCUUUCACAUCCAGGAUAGCUUGCUAUAGCCUGGGUACCAGUCUGUUUGUGCUAACAUUCCACCCCUUGUACCCAGUAUCCUAUGGUAAAUGGCACAGAGUGGAAUGUUACCACAAAACUGGUCUGGAUUUCAGGUUAAACUUGCUAUUUCCUCAUGGAUAA
ensembl:lncRNA